rnacentral:lncRNA from 1 species
ACCGCCGUCAACGUCAACAGAGGGUGCAAAACACGCUGUUGCUCCAUGUGUGCCGCUUGCUUGCGCCAUUCCCCUCCCCGCCACGCCAGAGCAUUGGCUCGUAGUCCUGCAUCCCAGCAGAUGACUGCAAGGAUUUACCCCAGCUCCAGCCCCUUUGUGUAAUAACCUACUUUAUAACUUCUACUCUUCCACUGUGCCUCGGUAUUGGUAUGGAGCAGAAUCCAACUCAAACCAAACCGUUAUUUCAAGAGCACGCCUAGUAAGUUCCCCUGGUAGUUUAUAACUGUUAUUUUGCUAAUGGAAAGUUAAUCAUUGGCUUGAAACUGUGCAAAAAUGUUAAGGGAAAGAAUCACAAGAUCACAGGAAGAACUCUAAUAUGCUCUCAAGUAGGUCUCUCUUAUUUGCCUCUGCAGACUUCAGCUCUAAAUACCUCAGGGUGAAAUGUGUCUGAGCAUUUCAACACCUAGCAAAUAUUAACUACCUCAGAACAGAUUAGAACAACAAGGCUUGGAGGGUGCCUUUAUGCUGCAGCCUGUGAAGAUGAAAAGUCUCAAACCCGAGCAACAUUGUGGUCACUGCCUACUGGAAGUAAGCUCGGUAAUCUGAAUGGCAACCACCAUUUCAGGAAGCCAAAAAGUUGCUGUGGUGCUGACCAAAGAGGUUGUUGUGUCUCAUAUGCCAUGAUUACCACCUCUGACCUGCCAGUGCAGAUCAGGUAGGUCCCUCUAAUCUCUUUCCACCUAAAGGAGC